UACAGAGGGUGCAAGCGUUGUUCGGAAUUACUGGGCGUAAAGCGCGUGUAGGCAGUUUCGCAAGUCGGGUGUGAAAGCCCUGGGCCCAACCUAGGAAGUGCACUCGAAACUGCGAGACUUGAGUCCUGGAGAGGAAGGCGGAAUUCUCGGUGUAGAGGUGAAAUUCGUAGAUAUCGAGAGGAACACCGGUGGCGAAGGCGGCACUCUGGGCCGGUACUGACGCUGAGGAGCGAAAGCCAGGGGAGCAAACGGG
rnacentral:rRNA from 1 species